rnacentral:lncRNA from 1 species
AAAUGUGGAUCAAGUUGUGCUUUUUAUGGAUUUCUUAUGUUUUGAUUGUUGAAAUAUUUAUGUAGGGUUUGGAGGGUUAUUGGAUUUGGAGGGGGUUUUGAAUUUCGUUGACUUGGGGCAUGACUUAAUUUUGGCCACGGAUGUCAGUGCAUCAGAUUAGAUUCGAGGUGUUGCUGCUGAAUGUGGGUAGAUUCUGAUGAGGUGACUUUAAUUUCUUUUUCAUAUAUUGCUAUGAUUUUUGAACAUGGAUUUGUGGCGAUGGAUGGGGUUGUCGGGAUUGAAAUUCUAAAAGAGUAAUACUUACUGAAUGUGGGUAGAUUCAGAUGCUUGAUGAAAUUUCCAACCAACAAAAGCCUUUUUUCUCGACAAAAGUUAUGUUUUCCAUGUAGUAACAAUGCAUCUUGGAGCGGUCCGUCCUUUUUUCUUUUCGGUAUUGCUAUUGGAAGUACAAAGAUAUGUUUAUAUGUGCUAUCAAUACGCAGAUUAGGGCAUUUGAUUUGUAUUGAAUACCUAUUUGACCCCAGUAUGUUUUUUGUUUUGUGUAGUAUGCUCAGAACAUUGGAGAGGUAUCAAAAGUGCAACUAUGGAGCACCAAAACCACAUGUGUCCUUGAGAGACGGUAGUGAGAAAUGGAAAUCCAUGAUUUUUGAAGUGAGUUUUUUUACUUGUACUCACUCCAUUUCAGUUUUCUAAAGAAAAAAAAAAUUUAAUUAUUGUGAAAUGUUUGGUCUGAUUCUACUUCAUUACUUCAAUGAUCCGCAGGAUAAACAAUUCUGUCAGGACAGAGCUGAGCUGUAGAACUUAAAGCAAAAUAUGUUACAAUUCCGCUACACGCACAGGGUAGAAAACAGGGUUGAGUCCAGGCUGACGUGGCACUUUAAAGAACACCAAAUAUAGAAAACCAAAGAAAAACGCAGCUGUCUUCCCCAAAUCUGUCUACACCAACCGUGACCCACAACCCACGUUUCUCCCAAAAUCGAAAAUCAGAGUCCGUACUGUGUCGUCGCCUCACCAUCUCCGGCAGCCCUGCAAUCGGAGAUAUCUUCGUGGCUUCGGCAGCAAUUUCGUCGACUGUUUCACCACUGGACGGUUCACAUUCUCCGACCGCACUUCAACCAAAGGUUUUGCCUCAGCUUUGGCCGCACUUCGGGCCAUGGUUUCACCACCUCCCGCUUUAUCUCCGGCCGCAUGCUAGAACACUGUGUGAAAACUAAUCUAUCGUUGUAGUCAUAAUUUCAUAUAGACGAAAAGAAACGGUGGUGCUUCUCGUGGUUUGAAUUAAUUUUUUCUCCCCUAUUUUAGCCUCUCAUACUUUACAGGUUAUGCUCGUCUCUCUCUCACUUUACUGUUAUUCAAUUAUUCAUUGCAGCGUAGUUUUCUUUUGUCGUGUUGAUGAAUAAACGUAUUGAAAAAACGCAUAAUCUCAAUAACAAUCAUUUUCUUACUGGCUUUAUUGAUACAAAUUGUGUUUUAACAAUUUUGCAGAUUCAAACCUAAGGGGAAGUUCUAAUUUUCUCCCUUUUCCAAUUUUAGUAAAUGGUAUUGUUUUUGUACGUAAUGGAAGGCUUAUACUGAAUUGAAAAUUCUCAAGGCGUACUUUAAUUUGUUUUCAUAUUACGGACAUGUUGAUGAAGGUCCCCUAUGUUGUGCUUAAUUGUAUGUUCGUAUUCCACCACCUGCCGAACAAAUUUAAAACAUUAAAAUACUCUUCCACUAAAUGAGCUUCUCUGUUUCUUGAUUUCUUAAAAUGAAUUUUAAUUGGCUUAUAUGAUGUGUGAUUACUCUUUUAGAGUUUCAAGUUCCAAUUGGAUCAUUAAUGCGUGUUUUACCUCUACUUAUUUAUUUGAAUUGACCGUGAUCUGUGGUUUAUUCUCCUUGUAGAGUGGGCGGACAAAAUUAUGGAAUUUGUCGUAGUUGUAUAGCUAAGGGGUCAGCAUGAAGAUAUGGAGCGCAUGUUCCCCUCAUAGAAUGGACGAACGAAAGAGUUGAAAAUAAGGAACACAUGUUCCAAUCUCUCGAGUUCGUCUCAAUGAUGAAGAACUACAAAUUUUGAUGACCGUGACAAUUAGCAAAGUGAAUGGUAGCGCGGAAGGAAAGGCCAAAGGAAAGGGGCCAGCAUGAGUAGCAGGAAUUAAUCGAAUGGCCUAUCACAUGGAGAUUUAGGCAAUUACAUCUUUUGUGUUCUAUUGUUGUGUAAAAUUGUUUUGGCAGUUCAAUGUAGCUAGACAGUGUUAAAAUCCAUUGUUCUUGUUCGAAGCUUCGAAGUUAUGAUUUGUGAAGAAUGUUAAAACCCACGUUUCUUGUGCAAAAUGUUAUGAUUUUAACUGGACAACAGUGAAGCACACACAAGCAAUAUCUUUGUUAAAAUCCACGUUUCUUGGUAAACAUUCUUUCAAUUUCUUAGUUUUCUGUUAUUUGUUCCAGAAUGAUGUUCAAGUUUAUCUUUUUGUAAUAUCUUUAUGCCA